AAAUAUCACCGUGUCUCCUUCUUUGACUGCAUUGAAGAAGGCUCGGCCACCCUCCAAACCUGCAAGGAAAUAAAGAGUACCAUCUAAGCUGAGCUGUGAGAACAUCAGCAGAGAGCAGCCCUUAGAAAGCAAUUUCUACUGCUUUUCCUUGGGCCAGAAUGGGGAGGAGCAAUUUAUGACUUCUGGAUGAGGCAGCUGUAAGCUACUUGGCCACUGAGUGGGACAAGUGAAAAGAACAUAUCUACUGAGGCUUCUCCAUCACUUCUGCAUAUGCAGCACACCUAGGCAUUUUGAUCAAGCGCAGUUUCGGCUCCCAUGUGUCUGGAGUGAAUCCUGAGAUCCUGAACUUCCAACAAGCUCUCUGAAGAUGCUGGUACUUACUAUAGGUCAAAGAAUCAUCUCUGAACAGCAAAGGCUCUCUCCGUUUGACCAUAAAGCCCCUCUAAUCUG